AUACGGAGGGUGCAAGCGUUAAUCGGAAUUACUGGGCGUAAAGCGCGCGUAGGCGGCUUGUUAAGUCGGAUGUGAAAGCCCCGGGCUCAACCUGGGAACUGCAUUCGAUACUGGCAGGCUAGAGUAUAGUAGAGGCAAGUGGAAUUCCGGGUGUAGCGGUGAAAUGCGUAGAUAUCCGGAGGAACAUCAGUGGCGAAGGCGACUUGCUGGACUAAUACUGACGCUGAGGAGCGAAAGCGUGGGGAGCAAACGGGAUUAGAAACCCGAGUAGUCC
rnacentral:rRNA from 1 species